UACAGAGGGUGCAAGCGUUGUUCGGAAUUAUUGGGCGUAAAGGGCGCGUAGGCGGUGCGGUAAGUCUGUAGUGAAAUCUCUGGGCUCAACUCAGAGUCUGCUAUAGAAACUGCCGUGCUUGAGUGUGGGAGAGGUGAGUGGAAUUCCCCGGUGUAGCGGUGAAAUGCGUAGAUAUCGGGAGGAACACCUGUGGCGAAAGCGGCUCACUGGACCACAACUGACGCUGAGGCGCGAAAGCUAGGGGAGCAAACAGG
rnacentral:rRNA from 1 species